rnacentral:lncRNA from 1 species
AUACAGUGUGGUGAAUGACAACUCCCAGAGCUGUACCCUCCAGACACGGCACCCGCUGCUCUCAUUACCAGUGCCCCACAGACAAUGCCAGCACCUUCUCGAGUACCCGAUCAAGACUCGGGUCGUGCGCACCAUGCUGUCCUUCCCGCCAAUCGGGUGCGUCCCC